GGGGGUGGUGCACGCACUGGGGAUGGUGCACGCACUGGGGGUGGUGCAUGCACUUGGCUUCCAUUUGUCCUGCUUGUCUCCACUGAAUACCUAAGGCAUCUACCUUAGGUUUUCUCCCUCAUUCAAACCUGCAAAAAUGGCUGCAUAGAAAGUAACAGUCUAAAUAAUAGAUUAUGGAAUAAAAAAUAAAACUUUUAAAUAACCAUCUUGCUUUAAUUUGGAAAAACUGACUUAUUUCUUCUAGAAUUAGCAAUAGUUCUGAAUUCUUUCUUCAAUGAUGAGGACAGGAUAAUGAGAUGAAUUUCAGGAUUGUUAGAUUAAAUAUCCCCUGAAAGCCAACGGAAGCUGAGGAAAUAGAAUACCUUCUUAGGAAAGAAGUAUACUCUUUUUUUUUUUCUUUUUUCUUUUUUUUUGAGACAGAGUUUCAUUCUUGUGGCUCAGGCUGGAGUGCAAUGGUGUGAUCUCGGCUCAUAGCAAACCUCCGCCUCCUGGGUUCAAGCGAUUAUCCUGCCUCAGCCUCCCGGUGCUCACCACCAUGCCCAGAUAAUUUUGUAUUUUUAGUAGAGAUGGGGUUUCUCCAUGUUGGUCAGGGUGGCCUCGAACUCCCGACCUCAGGUGAUCCGCCCACCUCGGCCUCCCAAAUUGCUGGGAUUACGGGUGUGAGCCACCGCACCCGGCCAGAAGUAUACUCUUGAAAGGGUUAUGUAACCUCACCACACAAAGGUUACAUUUUAUUCUACACGUAAUAUAUGUAGAUAUACACUAUACAUGUUGCAUGUGGCUACCAACAUGUGGAAUAAUCCAUACAGUUAUAACCCGCAUUUUCAGUUAAUAUAACAAGGAUGGCUUUCCAUCUUAGUAAAGACAGAUUGUGUAAUAUUAAUAAAUACAGAUUUAAAUGAAUGUCUAUACAUCACACUCUCAUUGAGGAAUAUGAAGGUGGUCUCUUAUUUAUGCUAGAUUGUGCUAUAAUAUAGCAAACAAGUUAUAGAACUUCUGGGUCAAGAAGUGUUGAAAGAGCUUUUAAAAUAUUUAUUCCUAUGGUUUCAGAUCAAAAAACUGAUUCUCAGAUGAUUUUAGUCCUCAUCUCUAAUGCUCCAGAUUGACUUUGCAGUGGGGUGGAUGGUAAACUAUUAGCCGCCCUUCUGAUUAAUAAACCUUCUCUCCAAAUAGGAUACUUGCAGGUUGCCUGGCAUACAGGAUAUGUUCAAUGAGUUUUAUUGAAUGGAUGAAUUACUGAAUAAGAAAAAAGUGAUGGUUAAAGGUAGUUAGAUAACUAACUUUGCUGAGUAAUUACUCCUACGAAGUGGCAUUCUGUAAAACUCUAAUUCUGUAUGUCUCCUAAUACUGUUACAGACGGCUAUGCUUGUCUCUUAUUUGGGGGACUUUUUAUGGCUUCUGGCAUAAAGGAGAGAUGGUGAAAAUGAUGCUCUGUCCCCAUCCAAUUGCUUAUCCAUCCCUUACAUCAUUUAUUCAUACUUUCAGUAAUUUGGGUGCAUUUUUCUACAUGCUCACCAGGCCAGAGCAGCAGGAUGGGCCCUCACCCAGCCUGGAACACCAUCAUUACUAGUAUCCAAUCCCCAGUUCUUCAUGCUGAAAAACAUUAUCAUUUCAUUUCUUGUAAAGCAUUCACAAUUCAUUAACACUCAGAAACUUGUGGGUGUGUGAAAAUAUGAUUAAGAAUCCGUUUCUGAAAGCUCCCAGGCGAUGCUAACAUGCAGCUCCAUUUGGGAACCACUGACUAGAAGUCUCACUUCAUCUUUAAUUUUCUUUUAUUCCCGAAUAAAAAGAAUUGUUUUUGUUUUUGGAAGACAUCUGAAUUACUUUGAUUUAGCACCACGACUAUUUUACAAGGCGCAGAAGUUUGAUAAAAGGUUCUUAUUUUUUCAUAGGACAAUGGAUUUAGAGGCUGUUAAAUUUUGAUAAUGCCAAGUGGAUAAGAAUUUGGUUUAACACAUAAAAGCAUAACAAUAACAACAGCAAUAAUAAUAUUUUCUUAGCACUGAGACUUUUUUGGCUAAGUCUAACUGUCUUUCUGAGGACAUCUAUGAUGCUAAUCAAGCACCCUCUUGAGUUAAAAUCUAAGCUUUAUUUUACCAGCAAGAUAAAACUAUUGACUCAAAGAGCAUUCAGAUGUUAGUCCCUGCUUUUUCAGAAAUUCUGUCCAUAGUCUAGAAAAGGAGUAGAUGGGGAAACAUGAGAAUAACUACUAGUAUUUACUGAGUAGCUGGGACAUGUCAAGCAUUGGGUUAGGCACUUCAUGUGAAUAAUCUCUCUCCAAUGAUCACAGCAACACCAGGAGGCAAGGACCCUAAGUCCAUUUCCUAGAUCAGGUGACUGAGGCUCUUCGAGAUGCACACCUUGUCCAGUGCCCUGGGACUUGUAAAAGGCAAAGCAGCGAUGAAAGAAUUCAUCUCUUUGAAACUCCCAGAGGAUUCUCUCACAGAGUUGUAAUUCUCCAAUCCAUGACGAUCUAUCCUUUUAGCUCUAGGACCUUGUGAUAGAAGAGAACCUUUGACACUUUGCAGGAUAAAGGACAGCAUUGGUUCCUGGCCUUCUCUGUGAAAACCAAUUCCCCAGGAGCUCUGUCAGUACUGAAAAGUCUCAGCCCAAAUUCCCCCUUACCAUUCUGAUCCCGUCUUAAUGGAACUGGACCAGCUAAGGGAUUCCAUCCCCACAGUAGCCUCCACCUGUCUUCAUCCCAGCUUGAAUAUACAGUUUCCCAUGCAAACCCUAUUACGGAUGCCACUGAAUUCCAUCUAUCUUGUCUCAGUGUCUCUGGCUGUCCCAAUACCCAUAGUUUUCCUACCCUCUAACCAGCGAAUGGGACCUGCAUGGAAAAGGAGAAAAUAAAAGCAAAAGUGAUCAGAGACACCGGCUGUCCAUCAGAAGGGUGCUGUUUGGAUGAUAAUUUUUGAGUGUGCAUUUAAAUAAGCAAUUUGGCAUUACUUGCUAUUGUUUACAUUUAACUGCCCUUAAAAUAGAAACAAUAUGAGUAGUCUGUUAUCCUACCUUCUACCAUAUUCAAGUUCUGAAAUUUAACAUUCAAAUUUCUUCAAUUGUCCUAAGGUCCCUUAGUGCAAAGGGCUAAAAAUAGAAAAACAGAAGAAAAGACUUAGGAAGUCAAGUUAAACAGAAAGUCAAGUGCUAAGCUAAGCAAACAAGCAGGAAGUUAAGCAGAAAGGUGGACAGGACCAGGUAAAUGCCAAGGAGGUGCUCAUGGGAGGCGAUGGUUGAGGUUAGGAUGGCUGAAGUGGGUGGAUGCUACACGUCCAAUGAGUUAGAGGCAGACACCUUUUCUUUGUCUUUCUUUUUUUUUUUUUUUUCUCGAGAGAGAGUCUCGCAUUGUCGCCCAGGCUGGUGUGCAGUAGUGUGAUCUCGGCUCACUGCAACCUCUCCACCUCCCAGGUUCAAGCGAUUCUCCUGCCUCAGCCUCCGGUGUAGCUGGGACGACAGGUGCACACCACAAUGCCCAGCUAAUUUUUGUAUUUUUAGUAGAGACAGGGUUUCACCAUGAUGGCCAGGCUGGUCUCGAACUCCUGAUCUCCUGAUCUGCCCACCUUGGCCUCCCAAAGUGCUGGGAUUACAGGUGUGAGCCAUCGCGCCCGGCCAAGGCAGACAACUUUUCAUAACCGCUUUUCACUUUCUUCUUGGACAGCAGUCCAUUUAUUUCUCAAACCUAGGUUACUCCUGGCUUUCAAGCUACCUUGCACUAGGAACGUGGCAAGUCACGUAACCUCACUUGUUCUAGUUUCCUCUUCUCUGGAAUGAAUGGUGUUGACAUAGAUGGGCUCUAUCGGCUGCUCCUAGAUCUCAGUGUUUGUCACAGUUCUUACACAGGGCUAGUAAUGGCUGGUAAGGGUUUGUAAAGCACUCAUUCUGUGAUACCUUAGCUCUGAAUGUGAGAUUUCUCUAAACUGAUGAUAUUACAGGUGUUGAUGUUUUCAUUCUAUGUUUGUGACUCGUUUCCUUUCAGAAGAAAACAUCCUCUCUUCUGUGAAAAAUGUCCACCACUACUUUAAUAAAAAGAGAAUCAUCAAAUAGAUAAAAGUUCCCAAUCUCUAGGAGUGGCCUCUUUUUAAGUGUACUCAUUUCUGUUCCCUAAUUUUAUUCAUUCCUUCUAUAGAAAUGGUAUGCAUGGGUAAAAACAUGCCACCUUAUAUGCUAUGGUGGGGGAUAAAAAUCUAAAAGACCUGGUCCUCACCUUUAAAAGACUGUAUCUUAGUAGAUCUGAUAAGACACAUAUGCCAAAAAUAUGAGUAAAAUGAUGACUGUAACGGUCAUUUGUAUUAUAUUCUAUAACAGGCCCCUGGCUGUGCACUUGACAAGUGUGAUGAGGUGCCCUCCAUUAUUACUUUAGCAGCCCUAGUAAGGGGCUUCAGGCAUAGCAUCUACUCAGUAAACACUUGCUAACUGAGUAAAGUAUUUUCAGCACUAUUUUAGAUGGCUAAGUAGCCAAAGAAUGUUACUGCCUUCACAGACCACAAAAUUCUAUAGAGUAUGUGAGUCACAUACUCGUGAAUUUAUAAGCGAGGAAGUACAUGUAGAGCAACAGAGAGGACCACAAAGCAAGUGUUAGGAAGCCGUGGUCACGUGAAAACACCACACAAACAUCUCUAUUUGUGCAUAGGUGGCUUUUCUUCUUUCCUUCAUAUGCAGCAGCAUUUAAAAAAUCACACACGGUUCCCAUACAGAAAUGGAACUGCAGUUUUGAAAUCUGAUUGUACAAUUUCCUGCUCCCCACAUCCCGUACCCAUUAAGUCACCAUGCAUCUGCAAAGGCUUGUCUGCUGGAUGGGCACACGGUAAGACGUAGUUCUUGAUGUUCUUUGGAAUAGGCGUCUUCGUUUUAGAAUUAGUUUAUGAUGAAUACUACGUUAUACAUGGACCCAGGGGAAAUACGAUGGAUUGUGUUAGCAGAGUUCCAAGUUCCAGAGAAAACGUCAGGGGAGGGUUGAAUAGUUGAGUCCAGUGUUCAUCUCUGAAGGUCAGAUGAAACAUAGUGAAACCACACUGAUCUCCAACUCUGGAUGCAGCCCUCAUACACAUCAGAACUGCCAUGGACUCAGCCUAUUUUUUAGGCAGUUGGUGAUACAGGUAAUCAGGUUUCCCAUGCCUUGGCCCUGCUGUGGACUCUGACGAGGUUUGAGAGUGAUUUACGGUGAAGAUGGCCCAAUAAAUGCCUGUAAACUGAAGUAAGGGAGGAGGCUCGUCUACAGCAAUGCCUGUGAGCAGACUUAAAUCAGCAAUUCUUUCUCUGAAGCAAUAAAUCAAAUUCCUGAGGAGGAUGACAGUAAAAUCCCAGAGGACAAUUAACUUGUCAGCAGUUCACAUGACUUCGUCCUGUUACUGAGCUACACACUAACUUUGUGAUUAGAUUUUUGAACUAUUAAGAAACUUUUGAUUUAAGGAAUUCAAGGUGAACAUACUUUAAUUAGAACUUCCAGAUUACACUUAGGCAGUAAAUCAACUAUACUCAUUCUCAUAUUCUUGGGUACUUUUCCCUUCCUUGGACGUUUUUACCUUUACUAUCUGGGUCAUUGUCUUACUUUGCUGUGGCUGAUGUCACAACCAAAAAUGUUGUAACCUAAAACAAUGUAAAUUCAUUAUUUUACAGUCUCUAAGUUAGAAGAUCAACACAGGUCUCACUGGGCUAAACUCGAGGUAUCGGCAGGGCUGGCUCCUUCUGGAGGCUUCAGGGAAGCAUCCAUCUCCCCACUUCUCCAGCUUCUUGAGGCCGUCCACAUUCCUGGGCUUGUGGUCCUGCUCCAUCUUCCAAGCCAGCAACAGCAGAUUGAGUUCCUCUUACUUAGCAUCACCCUGACCUCCUCUCCUGUAGACAAGUUUUCCUCUUCCUACCUCUGCUGUCUCCACCUUUGUGAUUACCUGGGGCCCACCAAGAUCAUCCAGGGUAGCCUCCCAUCUCUAGAUCCCUAAGUUAAUCAAUCACAUCUGCAAAGUCUCUUUUGCCAUGUGAGGUAACAUAGUCAUAGGUUCCAGAGAUUUGGAUGUGAACAUUUUUGUUGGGGCAUCAUUCUGCCCAACCACAAGCAUGUACCCGGCACUCACCGCGUGUGGCAGUUAGUUGGUGUGUACUUUCUCUACCUGUAAAUCCCUGGAUGGAGAACAUGAUUUUUUCUCUCUACAUCUCUUUGCAUUUCAUCUGGUUCACUUAACCUGAUCCCCAGUGUCUUAGUCUGUACAGUGUGGCCAUAACAAUACCUGAGGCGGGGUAUUUAUUUAAAAAAAAAAAUAGGUGGAUUUAGGUCACAGUUCUGCAGGCUGGGCAGCUCAAGGCCAUGGCCCUUGGUUCUGGCAAGGCAAGGGCUUUUGUGGUGCUGCGUCAUAACAUGGCAGAGAAGGUCAAAGUGUAAGUGGACACGAUCAAAGAGAAGACCGGAGGGGCCUCCUGGCUUUGUAACAAACCACUCUCAUGGGACUAUUCCAUUUCCUGGAGAACUAAUUCAGUCUCGCCAGAGUGAGACCUCACUACCAUGAGAACAGCACCAGGCCGUUCACGAGGGAUCUGCAUCAGUGAUUCCAACACCUCCCACUAGGCCUCAGCUCCCAACACUACCACAUUGGGGACCAAAUUUCAUCAUGGGCUUGGCAGGGAAAAGCCAACCAUACCCACACCAUAGCACCAGCCUGGGAGCCAAAUGCACCAAAAAAGGGAACGAGAAAGCCUAGAACUGAACCAUCCAGCAUUCAGAUACCAAAGAGAUCCAAAAAGUUAAACAAUCACGAAGAAAAUGCUGGGUUGAAGGACACACACUAUACUGAAUACAACAGAAGCGUUGAGAGGGUCAGACCUCAGGCAAAUUCAAGGCCAACAGCUGGCACCAAUGCGGGAAGAUGAAGCUUGCAUAAACAUAAGCCCAAUCGUUAUUUAUCGUGUAAGGACUUGGUAAUUAGAAAAAGUGCAAAGAUGGUCCAAACCUCCUAGAUGAUGCUUUCUUGCAGGGUGAACUUUGGUAAACACUGGGGGAUGGAGGAGAGAGGAAUCUGCCUUCCAGGCUUGUCAAGUUUGCUCUUAAUCGUCCUGAGAACACAGGAUCUGAUGGAGCAUUUGUUGGUCGUCUGCAAGGCUGUGAUAUUUUACUUUAUCACUUCCACCUACCACUUUUAUAAGUAUUUUUAUUCUCCAUAAAACAGGCUUUUAUGUAUCAUUUGGAAUACACAGAGCAUUUACCAAUUAAUCACAUUAAAGACUUAUUAUCUGUUCUCUUAUGAUACACCUAUUUUGAUAUUGUGUGAAGAUAAUUGUUAUAAUCUGUAUUAAUUACAUACUGGCAUUCAUUAAAUAUGAAAAUGUUCAAUUGUUUGAAAGAAAAUGACUGGCCUUUUGGAAUAUUAAAGAGUAUUCUGUUUUAUUGCAUUUUUACACUAAAUGAUUAGGCAAAAAGUUUUUACUAGACAUUAGUAUUUUUAUUUAUUAAAUUUCAGUCCUCUUAGAAGAACUCAAGGUAUUAGCCAAUUGAAUUCAAACUUGUACCACUUAAAGAUACAAACGUAAAUAAUCUGAGAAGGGAAAAACUAAGUAUAGGGGGGGGAGUAUAGAAAAGGCAGUAACACAUUUAGACUUGAGGCAAGAACAGGUGUUUUUGUCUUAAGACACCAGCAGGGCUAGGCACUCAACAGAUGCUCUCCAAACAUUCGUGGCCCAUCGGAGUGAAUUGAAGAGUGGGUUGGCAGCAGUGGGUGGGAGGGCAGCAAAGCCUCCUUCCCUGGCAAACCUGAGGAGGAGGAAGGGGAGAAGCAGCUGCCGUGGCCACGUGGGAAGAAGAGUCAGGGACAGGCAGCAGGAGGUGCAGGGUGCCCCUGAGAGACAGGAGCUGCAUCACAGCAGUCAAACACGAAUUCAGCUCUGCCAGGGGCCCAGAACCCUGUCCGCUAGUUUGCCUGAGAUCAAGAAUGUGUGCAGAAAAUUCCAGAAAAUGCAAGCAACUUUGUAGCCACCACCCCAAAUAAUUAAACAAUAUUUUAAAAGCAAGUAACAUUUUAUGACUUUUAAAAGGCAUUAAAAUACAUUUGUUGGAAGGGGAAUUAAUUGCAGCAGAGUACGGCCGCUUUGCAAUGACAAAUGAAAACCCCACGUAGGGCUUGAUGCAGAGUAGAUCUAACAGGAAGCUGCUGAAGCGAUGUGACUUUGGGGAUGCGGGGAAAUCUCCUUUACUUAGAAAAAAAUGACAUUUAUACACACAUGUGCAAGUGUGAACACACACAAUCAUUCACUACACAAUGAUUUUCCAUUAUUUUAAACUAAACAAUGACUUGUUUUUCUGUUGAAGUGAAAAGGCCCUUGCAUGUCACCUGGAAAAGAAGGAGGGCAUUCAAGGAAGGUUUGGGGAACUUUGUUACGCAUAGGGAAAAAAACAAAAAUUUGUAUCACUACCUCACACCAUCAAUUCCUAAUAGAUUGUGUGGAAGACAAUAUAUUAAAACUCCAAAACGACAAGUGAAUACCUUUGUGAUUCUGGGAAUGAAAUAAUAUCUUAAGAACUAAAAGCAUUACCCACAAAGGAAAUUAUCGUUAAAUUUGACCCUAUUACAAUUAAGAACUUCUGCUCAUUAAAUAAUAGCAUUAAAAAGGUGAAAUGGCAAGACACAUAUUGGGAAAAGACACUUGCAACACCAAUAACCAACAAAGGAUUUGGACCUAGAAUACAUAAAGGACUCUUAAAAUCAAUUUCUAAAAAUGACAAUCUAAUUUAAAAAAUUUUAAUUAAAAAAAUUGGGCAACAAGUACAAGCAAGAAUUUCGUAGAGGAAAAAACUCCAGUGGUCAGUGGCAAUAUGAAAAGAUGCUCAACCUCCUUACAAACAUAAGUUUAAACUACAGCAAUACAAUUUAAAAGUUGGUGAGGAUAUAGAUAAUGGAAAUCCUUACCCGUUAUUGAUGGCAAAGUAAAUUGCCUCAACAGCUUUGGAGAACAAUCAGGCACUGUGUAUUCAGUAAAGCAAAACACUUGUGUAGCCCAGGGGCAGCAACUCCACUCCUAUGUGUGUUCAUUAUAGAAACUUGCAUGCAUCUGGGCACCAGGAACUGUGCUCGGGGAAGUCCAGAGCAGCUUUGGAGACAGCCCAGAAGUCAUUAUAGAGAAAAAUGGAAUAUUAUACAGAAGUGAAGAUGGCUGUGCCUACAUACUAUAGUGCAUGGAUGAAUUUUAGAAACAAAAUACUGAAUCCAAAUAAACAUGUAGGCCAGGCGCAGUGGCUCACGCCUGUAAUCCCAGCACUUCGGGAGGCCGAGACGGGUGGAUCACGAGGUCAGGAGAUCGAGACCAUCCUGGCUAACAUGGUGAAACCCCGUCUCUACUAAAAAUACAAAAAAUUAGCUGGGCGUGGUGGUGGGUGCCUGUAGUCCCAGCUACUCGGGAGAGGCAGGAGAAUGGCGUGAACCCGGGAGGUGGAGCUUGUAGUGAACCGAGACCCUGCCACUGUGCUCCAGCCUGGGCGACAGAGUGAGACUCCGUCUCAAAAAAAAAAAUAAUAAAAAUUAAAAAUUGAAAAUAAACAUGUAGCAAACAUGAAAACAAACAAACAUAGCCUUUUUAAUUUAAACCCCAAACCAAGCAAAGGUAAGCAGUGUAUCAUUCUUGAGAUAGACACAUAUAUAUGUACUAAAACUAUUUUUUUAAAGGAGGUAAUGAUUAACCCAAAAUUUCAGUGAUGGAGGCCCUCUAGGGGGCAGAGGCAGGAGGCAGUGUUGGGAGGAGCAGGCCAGCAGACACCAUGGUGUCGGUAGGUAACCUUCCAAUUCCAGACUUGAUGACUGGCUCACGAGUGAUCCGUUAUGAUGCUUUAUGAUGUACCUCUGUGUGUUAGAUGUAGAUUGUUUUGUAUGUUUUAAAUAUUCCAUAAUUGACAAUUGAAUGUAAAUACCCUGGGGGAGGGCAGCCUCCGAUCUUAUCUGUCCAUUUGGCUUCAGAGUGGUUUUGCUCAGCCGGCAUUUUCCCCUCAAGAGGGUUUGAUGGCCACAGGAGAGACGUUCACGUAUUUAACAGAGUUCACUGUUUGACCAUCUUGCUUAGGAUAAUAACUCAGAGUCUGUCUGUCCUUCCUAGAGAUGGGCCACUACUGACUGCAAAGACGAGCUUCCCUCUGUUUUCACAUGUGUGGAAUCAUCAGGGUUUUUGUUGAGUGCCCUUAUUAGGGCCAGUUCCUUGGGAAAUGGUCCUAUAGGAAAACCUAACCACCACCAAAGAAGAGAAGAAUCAUUCACCUGGCCCCUCAGAGUGCUCAGCCCACUGCACCCCGAUGCUCCCGUGAUCUUUGUCUGUUCGCCCUCAAAGCCACUUCAAAUAAACAUUCUAGAAAAGAAGUGUUCUUGCCACCCAAAUGCAACUCAAAUCCGCUUUCCAUCCAGGUGACUGUCUCAUCUCCUCUGCUCAGCUACUCUGCCCCGCCCCUACCAAUGCCAGCCCCACAGAGCAAAGCUGAGAUUCGUCUGGGAUGCUGUUCUCAGUAGACCAGCAUGGAGUGCCAGGUAUUAAUACUGGCUUUGAAGAUCACAGGGAAGCAGGGCCAGAUUCUCCUCACCCUCACUUCACAAUUCCCUCCUUCUCAGUUUUAAAGUGAAGACGAAGAGGAACAUGACACAACAAACAUGCAUGUGUAAUUUUGUUGCACGUGUCUGUGCAAUUUCCAGGAAGAGAAAAGCUUCCUGGAAAGCAGGCAGGCAAUUUCAGUCCUGAGGCUGAUGUGGUCUCACUUAGGCAAGGGUUUCACCCUCCCUGGGCCUCAGUCGCACCAUCUCUAAAACAGAAUGGCAUUUGCCUUGCCACCCUCCUCUCUGCUCUGUGGCCCUCACUGAGCUUCUCAAGGGUCAAGGACCAGAUCGCCUUGAUUUCUGUCAGGGCUGAAUGCAGUGCCCAGGAGGGAUGGUAAGAGAAAGGAGGGAGGAAGUGAAGGAGAGAGGAGAGGGUGGGAGGUGGUUCAGUCGCAGCACUGUGUUGAAGAGCAUAAUACGUGAGAAACUUUUGUGAACUUUGGAGAGUGUUCUGCAAAUCUAAAGUGAUGAAUGCCAUUACUAAGGUCAGUUACUGUGAAUGAUCGGCAUAUGCGUAUCAAAAACAGCUCCCAGCUCUGUAAGGCAUUAGAGUGAAAGCAAGCAAUUUUUUAAUGAAACAUUCAUUUGCCUUCUUUUACUGCAGUGCUUUGAUUUAAUCAAAAUAAGCAAAAAUGGCCAAUGAUUGUAUCAACUUCUGAACUUGUUGAAUCUACUUGGAUGUUACUGUAACCCACUAGGAGAAAAGGGAAGCAAAAAUACUAUGUAUUAAUGUUCUUCAAUUUUCUUACACUUGUAACCCUUUUUUACUUUAGAAAAGUUUAAAUGUGUUAUACAUAUGCAUAAUUAAUAAGGAAAAGCUACUUGAUUUAUAUAAUUAACCAUAGUCAAUCUAAAAAUAAGUUUAUUUAAAUUAGUGUGAAUUUCAUAGCUAAAAAUACUUGUGAAGAAACAGUUUGGCUAUUUUUUCUCAUCAAAUGGGAUGUUUGAAAAUAAUAAAUAAAAGCAGCUCAAUACUAUUGGUUACUUUCUCCUAUUUCUUCUUGAACAUGCCAAUCGAAUAAAAUCACUUGAAGACUUUGGCAAUGUUGAAGCUGAUUAAAUUUAUUAUUCAAGUUGAGUUCCAUAAGAAUAUGAAACAUUCACUUUCUGGAAGUAAUUCAGUUACUGGCCAUUUUUUCUCACUGAAAAUUAAGUGUAAGUUUUGAGCUCUAAUACAAGUUCCAAGUUUAGUAUCAAUUAAGUGUGUAUUUUUGCUACUUAUGAGCUUUAUAGGUGUAUUUUAAUAACUGGCUUUAAAAGAUAAACCGAAAAAGAUUAAUUGCUUAAGCAAAAUGGUUUGUUUUCAAUUAGUGUCAUCCUUUCUGUUAAUUGGAGACAGGUUAAUAAAACAUGGGUCAGUAACACUAGGACGUUUUUCCCCCAACAUCCCCAAAAUAAGAUUUAUUGUCCCAUUAGGAAAAUGUAAGCGGCGCAUUAUCUUUUCCUUAAGUGCUUAAGCAUUAUGUCCUGUGAUGGAUGGGUACGACAGGCAGUGGCGGGGUGGGCAAAGGAAGUGGGCAGGCUUGUUUCCAGCUGAUGACCUUUGAAAAGUUCACGACCAGCAAAUAUUCAUCCUGCUGCCAAAAUAGCGGAUGAUUUCAAAGUCACGGUGUUAAGCGGUUGCUAAGGAAGUGUUACGGUGGAGGCUAUUGUGCAGCUGAAGUGGUUGUUAUGGCCACUCUGCAUGUUAGAAAAAUGUCAAUUAUUCUGAAGAGGUUGGCAAUGCUACCUGGCAUCCGCUCCACAAUGGUGAUUAUGGUAUCACCAUUCUUGUUGUAGCAACAAGCCAGUCCUCUGAAAUGUUUUCCAGAGGUUUGCAUUUGCUGACUCCAUUGACUAUUUUCUUGAUAAUGUUGCUGGGAUAAACUAGAAAACAAGUUUCCCCAUGGUCAGCUGGAAAUACUCAUAUUGCACUUGGACAGAGCGGAUUGUUUCUGAGAAGGGCCAGUGAUGAGCACCAGUUCCCUCCUUGCCCAGGCCAACAGCGUUUCACAGGACCCCUGGGCUCGUCCUGAUGGUUCUCUUCCAAACGAUGAUCUAGAAAGAUGUCCCAUGUCAAGUUGCUUGCCUUUCAAAGGUCUUCAAAUCAUUGUUCCUCCAUAUCGUGGUCAGAGUUAGUGCUUUCAUGCUGGUGAGCGCUUGGGGAAUUUUUUUUAGGACUGUGACAGAGACAAAAAACUAAAAAAAAAAAAAAAAAAGUAAUAAAAAUGAGAGCUCUAUUCCA